GGGUUGUAAACCGCUUUCAGCAGGAAAGAAGCCCCUUGGGGUGACGGUACCUGCAGAAGAAGUACCGGGCUAACUACGUGCCAGCAGCCGCGGUAAUACGUAGGGUACAAGCGUUGUCCGGGAAUUAUUGGGCGUAAAGAGCUCGUAGGUGGUUGGUCACGUCUGCUGUGGAAACGCAACGCUUAACGUUGCGCGUGCAGUGGGUACGGGCUGACUAGAGUGCAGUAGGGGAGUCUGGAAUUCCUGGUGUAGCGGUGAAAUGCGCAGAUAUCAGGAGGAACACCGGUGGCGAAGGCGGGACUCUGGGCUGUAACUGACACUGAGGAGCGAAAGCAUGGGGAGCGAACAGGAUUAGAUACCCUGGUAGUCCAUGCCGUAAACGUUGGGCACUAGGUGUGGGGGACAUUCCACGUUCUCCGCGCCGUAGCUAACGCAUUAAGUGCCCCGCCUGGGGAGUACGGUCGCAAGGCUAAAACUCAAAGGAAUUGACGGGGGCCCGCACAAGCGGCGGAGCAUGCGGAUUAAUUCGAUGCAACGCGAAGAACCUUACCAAGGCUUGACAUACACCAGACCGGGCUGGAAACAGUCCUUCCCCUUUGGGGUUGGUGUACAGGUGGUGCAUGGUUGUCGUCAGCUCGUGUCGUGAGAUGUUGGGUUAAGUCCCGCAACGAGCGCAACCCUCGUUCUAUGUUGCCAGCACGUAAUGGUGGGAACUCAUAGGAGACUGCCGGGGUCAACUCGGAGGAAGGUGGGGAUGACGUCAAAUCAUCAUGCCCUUUAUGUCUUGGGCUUCACGCAUGCUACAAUGGCUGGUACAGAGAGAUGCGAGACCGUGAGGUUUUAGCGAAUCCCUUAAAGCCAGUCUCAGUUCGGAUCGUAGUCUGCAAUUCGACUACGUAAUCGGAGU
rnacentral:rRNA from 1 species